UGAAUCCUACCCCUUUUGUGUUGUUCUUCGUCGUUUCCACUUCUUCAACUGACGUCUCAUCUUCUUCUCUGUUUCUCCACUGUAACGUCGGCCACCAAUCCAUCUCUCUCAUUAAACCCCCUUCUUCACUCCUUCAAAUGCUGAUGAACUCCAAAAUGAGGAGACUAUUAUAUAAAGAUGACGAGGAUGAAGAAGAUCAACGAAAGAAGAGCAUAAAAUCAGAGAAAGAAACAUGGAUAGUCAUCGUUCAUAUCGCCCAUUCCAUCCUCGCUGGCGAUGGAUUCUCCUUGAGUGUGCCCUCAAUGCACCUCCUCUAACCAGCUCUAUGUCCUAGAGCUCCACCGCAUAGUGCUAAAAGCCAGAGCCUUCGUCUCUUUGCCUCUGUUUAUCUUUCUUUCAGUUUGCACAUUCAACGCUCUCUAAUUUGAAAUCUUGUUCCCUAAUUUUUAAAUUCAGAUAUUGUUGGCUCUUGAAAUAGGGAUCUCUGGUUUUUCUUGCAUUAGUUCUGUGUAGUUGACUAAAGAAGUAUCAACUGGAAUGUCUGAACCAGUUUGGUCCUCACAAUUUGGACCCUUUCUCAAUUUUCAGGACCAAAAACAGAGUGAUGAUGCGGUGGAUCACGACAUGAAUUAUAUAGUAUUCAGAGGAGAAGAUUCCAAUUGAUAUCCACCCAUGGAUGUCUCACUGUCUGCUUAUCAAAUUUUCCCUUCACGUGAACUUUGUUAGACCUCCCCUCUGCUUAUUCCAAAAUAGAGCUCUUUUAUGUUUUCUGUUUCUUUUACAUUAUGCAAGUGUCUCUCUUACAUCAGUCACAAUAUCUGGAAGUGAU